UCCUCGGUAGCUCAGCGGUAGAGCAGUCGGCUGUUAACCGAUUGGUCGUAGGUUCGAAUCCUACCCGGGGAG
rnacentral:tRNA from 1 species